rnacentral:rRNA from 1 species
UACGUAGGGUGCAAGCGUUGUCCGGAAUUAUUGGGCGUAAAGAGCUCGUAGGCGGUCUGUCGCGUCGGCUGUGAAACUCGGGCUCAACUCCGAGCUGCAGUCGAUACGGGCAGGCUAGAGUUCGGCAGGGGAGACUGGAAUUCCUGGUGUAGGCGGUGAAAUGCGCAGAUAUCAGGAGGAACACCGGUGGCGAAGGCGGGUCUCUGGGCCGAUACUGACGCUGAGGAGCGAAAGCGUGGGGAGCAAACAGG